CGGGACUUUUCUCAUCCUACCAAUCAAUCACCUGACCUUCUUCCAAAACUUUCCCAUAAGUCAUUAGCAAACCCUGGUCUUAUAAAGGAAGAACCAACAAAGCCAGGCAUUGGAAAAAAAGAAAAUGGUAUUGAUAUUGUUGAAAGUGCUCCACUAGAGCAAACAGAUAAUGACAAUUUGACUUACGUUGAUGAAGUGCACAAAAAUAAUAGGAGUGAUAUGAUGUCCGCAUUAGGAUUAGGACAAGAGGAAGAUAUAGAAUCACCUUGGGAUUCUGAGGUACUUUCUAUGGUUGUUACUAUUAUUUUAAAAUAUAAGCAUUGAGUGAUGUUAAAACAUAAAGAGAUGCUUUGACUUGACUUUUUUACCUCUGCAUACAUCCAUAAGGAACUACUUUCUUAUAUUUUUCAGUUCAUAAUUAAUAAAGUAUGUGCUAAGUAUAUUACUGCUGCAUACUAUAAUUCUGCUAAUUUGCAAGAUUCAUUUAAGAAUCCAGUGUAGGAUAGUGCAAAAAAAAAAAA
rnacentral:sRNA from 1 species